AUACGGAGGGUGCGAGCGUUAAUCGGAAUUACUGGGCGUAAAGCGCGUGUAGGCGGCUUGGCAAGUCGAAUGUGAAAUCCCGGGGCCCAACCCCGGAACUGCAUUCGAAACUGCCUGGCUCGAGUCUCGGAGAGGAAGGCAGAAUUCCCGGUGUAGGGGUGAAAUCCGUAGAUAUCGGGAGGAAUACCAGUGGCGAAGGCGGCCUUCUGGACGAUGACUGACGCUGAGACGCGAAAGCGUGGGGAGCAAACAGGAUUAGAAACCCCGGUAGUCC
rnacentral:rRNA from 1 species